UACGAAGGGGGCGAGCGUUGUUCGGAAUUACUGGGCGUAAAGGGCGCGUAGGCGGCGACCCAAGUCAGAUGUGAAAGUCCUGGGCUUAACCUGGGGACUGCAUUUGAUACUGGGUUGCUUGAAUUCGGGAGAGGAUAGCGGAAUUCCCAGUGUAGAGGUGAAAUUCGUAGAUAUUGGGAAGAACACCGGUGGCGAAGGCGGCUAUCUGGACCGACAUUGACGCUGAGGCGCGAAAGCAUGGGGAGCGAACAGG
rnacentral:rRNA from 1 species